rnacentral:rRNA from 1 species
AGAGAGUGCAAGCGUUAAUCGGAAUUACUGGGCGUAAAGCGCGCGUAGGUGGAUAUUUAAGUCGGAUGUGAAAGCCCUGGGCUUAACCUGGGAAUUGCACCCGAUACUGGGUAUCUAGAGUAUGGUAGAGGGUAGUGGAAUUUCCGGUGUAGCGGUGAAAUGCGUAGAUAUCGGAAAGAACACCAGUGGCGAAGGCGGCUACCUGGACCAAUACUGACACUGAGGUGCGAAAGCGUGGGGAGCAAACAGGGAUUAGAGACCCUGGUAGUCCACGCCGUCAACGAUGAGAACUAGCUGUUGGGAGGUUUACCUCUUAGUAGCGAAGCUAACGCGUUAAGUUCUCCGCCUGGGGGAGUACGGUCGCAAGAUUA